UACGUAGGGUGCGAGCGUUGUCCGGAAUUAUUGGGCGUAAAGGGUCCGUAGGCGGUUUAAUAAGUCAGUGGUGAAAGCCCAUCGCUCAACGGUGGAACGGCCAUUGAUACUGUUAAACUUGAAUUAUUAGGAAGUAACUAGAAUAUGUAGUGUAGCGGUGAAAUGCGCAGAUAUUGGGAAGAACACCAGUGGCGAAGGCGGUUCUCUGGGACGGUACUGACGCUGAGACGCGAAAGCGUGGGGAGCGAACAGG
rnacentral:rRNA from 1 species